UUGACAGCCCUGGAGACUGAACUCUUUUAUUUAUUUAUACAAAAGGUACAGCACAGGCAGCAGUAGUGCAAACUUCUCCAUACUGGCCUAACAAAGUUUCUUAACCAUGUGACCUAAAGGGCUCCACCCCAAAGGAGAAUUCAGCUUCAUGCCUAUUGAAUCCUUGAUCUUU
rnacentral:sRNA from 1 species